CACCACUUUUUCUAGCGUUUUAAUUACUCUUCUCAUUCUCUCUCUUCCUUUCACGCUUUUUCAUUAUUCAACCCUCUCUUCUCAUCUUCUCUCUUCUUUCGCCGUUCAGUUUGUCUUUCUUCAUCUCGUUUUUUCUUCCUCCCUCUGACUCGCAUGAGUUGUAUUCUUCUCAGACUUCAUUCAAUAUUUGCAUUUUCUUGUUGAACGAUGCAUUUCUCUUCUCGAUUUUCUUUGUAUAGCUAUUUUUUUUAGAUCUUGUAGAUAUGAACGAUUUGUUGGUAGAAUAUAACUAUUUGUUUUUAGUAGAUCUAACUUUUUUUUCUUUGUAGAUCUAUAUAUAUAUAUAUAUUGUGUAGUAGAUAUGAACGAUUUCUUGGUAGAUCUAUAUAUAUAUAAUAUAUAUAUAUAUAUUAUAUUAUAUAUAUAUAUAUAUAUUGUGUAGUAGAUAUGAACGAUUUUUUGUCUAGAUCUGAAAUCUUUUCAAAUAUUAGUUUAUGACUUAGGAUUUGUAUGCUCUCAUAUGGAUUUCCUCAUAUUUUAUUCGUCCUUACAUAUUUGAUUUUUCGAUUGUUGUUGGCUCUAUACUUCGUCGGAUUCGUUUUUGUUUUGAUUUAACUUCCCGUCAUUUUGUGCAUCUUUUAAUUAUUUCGAAUACUUGGUUUCUGGCUUAAAAUUUGUAGUUUGCGUUUGGAUUCCCUCAUAUUUUAUUCAUCCUUGCAUGCUUGAUUUUCUUAUUGUUGUUGGCUCUGUACUUUGUAUGGUUCUUUUUGUCCUGAUUUAGCUUUCCGUCAUUUUGGGCAUUCUUUUGGCUUGCAUGUUUAUGACUAGGGUUUACUCUUAUAAUUUGUUCUUCGUUUCUUAUGAUUUUUUUUUCACUUUUGGUAUGUUAUUACAACCAAAUCCCUAUUUUUUUUUCCAUUUAUAUCGUAUUAACUUCUUUGUCUCUAUUCUUUAUUCCCAUGCUUAUAUAUGUUCUGUUUGUCUUUCUCUUCCCUACUUUUUUUUUCAGAUUGCCUCUUGUUGCUUCAAUAAUAGAGCACGUGUCCUUCCCUUGCCUUUUUUUUUUUUGUUUUUUCUCUUUUUCAUCAAACUUGGACAGUGAGUAAAUUCAUGGUAGGGGAUACCAACCAUGUUAUUGGAGUUUGGUGGGGAUCCAAUCCACCCCACAACAGGUUCGUUUUCUAUCUUCUUUUUCCCUAAGGUCGAUGAUGAUUUGUUAUAAAAUUUGCACUCUAAUUUUUUAGUAUAAUUUCUAAUAUGAUUUGAUUUCAUUUUGAUAAUUAGAUUAAAAAAUUAUGCAUCACUGUUUUUCCUUAUGUUUGCAGACUGCUUUGUAAUUUCUUCCUUCAUACAUAGACAAAUCUUUUGGUGUUUUUCAUCUAAUCAGUGGAUUCUUUUUUUAUCCAUUUUGAAAGUGUUUUCAGUAUUCAACUAAAUUCAGUUUUCAUACACUUAAAAAAUUGAACUUUAAUUUUACAACUGUUGCAAUUAUUUAUUUUGUUUGUUUGGAGUUGGAUUUGUUCCCAUAAAAGAUCUAUAUCAAAUCCUGAGGCCCUCUAAUCUUUAUUCUUAUGUCCAUUUAUGUGAGAUAUUAUGUUGUAAUUAUGUCAAUUUUUAGUAGAUUUAUUUUAUAAUCAACCACCUAAAAUUAAUAUUGAACUGACCAUUACUUACUUUAUUUAUGUUUGAGUUGACCGGUUGGCGUUUUCUAGCCACUAGAGCAAGUAAGAGAACAAUCAGUAAACAUAAUUCCAUACUCGAUCUCAUAGAUACAUAUAGAAUUUUGUGGUGUUUGAUCAACUUGGGGGAAGCCUAGAAAGCCACCUCUUCCUCGUUUUGCUUUUCUAUCUACGGUUCUUUUGGAGUGGAAUGAAUAGAAGCCCAAAGAGAUGAAUAGGGUAAGGGGGACUUAGCUCUAGAUCCCCCCGCUUGCAGAAAUGAAUUGAUUAGAAGGGGUUCUCUUUUUGAAGUUGGAUCUCCAAGUUUUUGGAAUGCCUCAAAUUCUAACAAAGAGAAAACCAGUAUCUGUCGCUAAUUGAUUAAUACAGUUGGUCGACCUAUGCAUCUGUCAGUAAUGAAAGCAAUAGAAUGAAUCACACUUUUACCACUAAACUAUAUCCACUACAAUCCCUAGGGAAGAGGAUCAAGUUGGCCCUUGCGAACAGCUUGAUGCACUUCGGCUGGCUCUUGACAUACAUUCCAGAUCUAUCUUCCAUUCUCCUCACCAACCAUCCUUAUUGUAUCUUCUACUUAUACCUGAAUUCCUUCUCAUAUUUUGUGAGAUUUCUCCACAGCCACCUCUAAUACACUGUGUUGGUACGUCUCUGCUCUACCUUUUUUUUUUUUUUUCAGGUUUUUCUUAAACCAUUUUUACAUUCUCAUAUGUAUGGUUUAGCUAUUGCAAUAUGUUAUGUUUCCUUCUUCUACCUUUGAUUUCAACCUUAUUCUAUUCAUAUAAGAUAGCUAACAAAUGAAAGAUUGCCUUACACAAGGUAUGUUUCCUUCCUUCCUUAUAUUCCAAGUAAGAUUUGAUAUUAACGUUUUUAUGUUUUUGUUAGGAAACAUCUACUUUCUGCCCCUUACAUGUGGACUGUCUCGAUUACCAUUCACUCCGAACAUUAUCAAAAGAUAUGUUCUAGUAUAUUUUAUUUCUACUUCUGUCGUAUUGACCUACCCUUUGGUUUAACUAUACUUAUUUUUCGUUCGUGUAGGGCUCAAACUAAUCGAACAUACAUUUCGUAACUAGUUUGAGGCAGAUGGAGAAACACAAAUUCUAUGUGGUAUUCAUUGGUAGUAAUCCAAGGAUCUACUUAUCCCGCACGAAUAUCAUAGUUAAGUCAGUGAGUACAAGGGGGCAUUACACAAGUCGUAUGAAACAUCAAAUGCAAGAUUAGAAGUUGCUCGAAUGUGACCUAAACCAGAAUACCAUCGAAUGUAAUAUUAGAAGUUUGAAGAAACAAUAUCCGACAGUAACAAAGAUGUUAAAUCAAUUAGGGUUCAGAUGAAACGAGGAGUUCAAGUUCGUUGAGGUGGACAAGGAGAUCUUUGACAUCUAAGUUUGGAGUCAUCCUAACGUGAAGGAAUUGUGGAAUAAGUCAUUCCCCUAUUACGGUGAACUAUCAAAUGUAUUUGGGAAGGAUAGGGCAACUGAGUAGUCUUGCGAGCCCCUAGUGGUGAUGGCGUCAAAUUUGUUCUGAGAAAUAGAAGAUGAAAUAAUUCAGCUAGGAUCACAGGAAUACCCUACCCCAGAUAAUGAACAAACCCAACUGCUUGAGAAUGCAAUGGAAGAAGAUCAAGUAGAUAUGUCCACGAGGGAAAGCAAAUGUACCAGAUAUCUCCAUAGGCAGAGCAAGCGUAUCAGCGGAACCAUCCAGAGGGAGUAAGAGGAAACGACUGACAUUCCAGAAUGAAAUGAUCGACCUCAUAUGAUCCACAGCUAAUAUGCAGUUAACGCACAUGGACAUACUCGUUGUGUGACAAACUGAGAAAUAUGAGCCGGAAUUUGGACAUCGGAAUGAGGUAGUUUAGGCCAUAUUUGGUAUUGAAGGACUGACUGAGGAUGAUAGAUACAACCUAGUUGAUAUAAUUGGCACGGACAUACAAAAGACGGGCCUCUUCCUUGCUGUAUCGGAAGAAGUUCGUCUUUUGCUUUUCCUUGUUGUACCGGAAGAGAAACAGCUACGGUACUGCAUGCCUACUUGCUCGAACCCACUAGACUAACCACCUGCUAUUUCAACCGAAAAACAUAUAUUUUGUAAUUUUUUUUUUGGAAUGACCACAUGUUCAGUCAUUUGUUAUAGUUUUUGUAAUGUUCAGAAAAAUGUAACUGUACUACAGUAUCACAUUCUCACCAUCAAUAUGAAAUGAAAGGUAAUUAUUCUAUGUACAA